GAUGAAGAACGCAGCGAAAUGCGAUACGUAAUGUGAAUUGCAGAAUUCAGUGAAUCAUCGAGUCUUUGAACGCACAUUGCGCCCCCUGGUAUUCCGGGGGGCAUGCCUGUCCGAGCGUCAUUGCUGCCCUCAAGCACGGCUUGUGUGUUGGGCCUCCGUCCUCCUCCCGGGGGACGGGCCCGAAAGGCAGCGGCGGCACCGCGUCCGGUCCUCGAGCGUAUGGGGCUUCGUCACCCGCUCUUGUAGGCCCGGCCGGCGCUUGCCGACACAUCAAUCUUUUUUCCCGGUUGACCUCGGAUCAGGUAGGGAUACCCGCUGAAAUUAAGCAUAUCAAUAAGCGGAGGA
rnacentral:misc_RNA from 1 species